GAACUUAAGCAUAUCAAUAAGCGGAGGAAAAGAAACCAACAGGGAUUGCCCCAGUAACGGCGAGUGAAGCGGCAACAGCUCAAAUUUGAAAUCUGGCCCCUCCGGGUCCGAGUUGUAAUUUGUAGAGGAUGCUUUUGGUGAGGUGCCGCCCGAGUUCCCUGGAACGGGACGCCGCAGAGGGUGAGAGCCCCGUCUGGCUGGCCACCGAGCCUCUGUAAAGCUCCUUCGACGAGUCGAGUAGUUUGGGAAUGCUGCUCAAAAUGGGAGGUAUAUGUCUUCUAAAGCUAAAUAUUGGCCAGAGACCGAUAGCGCACAAGUAGAGUGAUCGAAAGAUGAAAAGCACCUUGAAAAGAGGGUUAAACAGUACGUGAAAUUGUUGAAAGGGAAGCGCUUGUGACCAGACUUGGGCGCGGCGGAUCAUCCGGGGUUCUCCCCGGUGCACUUCGCCGCGUCCAGGCCAGCAUCAGUUCGUCGCGGGGGGAAAAGGCUUCGGGAACGUGGCUCCUCCGGGAGUGUUAUAGCCCGUUGCAUAAUACCCUGCGGUGGACUGAGGACCGCGCAUCUGCAAGGAUGCUGGCGUAAUGGUCACCAGCGACCCGUCUUGAAACACGGACCAAGGAGUCGUCUUCGUAUGCGAGUGUUCGGGUGUCAAACCCCUACGCGUAAUGAAAGUGAACGCAGGUGAGAGCUUCGGCGCAUCAUCGACCGAUCCUGAUGUUCUCGGAUGGAUUUGAGUAAGAGCAUACGGGGCCGGACCCGAAA
rnacentral:rRNA from 1 species